UUGCAAAUUGCAAGGAUUAUUAUUAAGAGAUAAAGUUAGGGUUUUACCUUUUGUAUA
rnacentral:tRNA from 1 species